GUCCACGCUGUAAACGAUGAGUGCUAGACGUUGGGGCCCCUAGGGUUCCGGUGUCGCCGCUAACGCAUGAAGCACUCCGCCUGGGGAGUACGGCCGCAAGGUUAAACUCAAAGGAAUUGACGGGGCCCGCACAAGCGGUGGAGCAUGUGGUUUAAUUCGACGCAACGCGAAGAACCUUACCAGCCCCUUGACAUGGGACGUUUGGGCCUGAGAGAUCGGGUCCUUCAGUUCGGCUGGCGUCCACACAGGUGCUGCAUGGCUGUCGU
rnacentral:rRNA from 1 species